UACGGGAGGCANCAGUAGGGAAUCUUCCCCAAUGGACGAAAGUCUGAUGGAGCAACGCCGCGUGAGUGAUGAAGGGUUUCGGCUCGUAAAACUCUGUUGUGGAGAAGAACAGGUGUCAGAGUAACUGUGACAUCUGACGGAUCCAACCAGAAGCCCGCA
rnacentral:rRNA from 1 species